CCUUCGAUAGCUCAGCUGGUAGAGCGGAGGACUGUAGAGGCAGAGGCGGGGCCUGCAGGAAUCCUUAGGUCGCUGGUUCGAUUCCGGCUCGAAGGA
rnacentral:tRNA from 1 species